UUGAAGGUUGGGUAACACUAACUGGAGGACCGAACCGACUAAUGUUGAAAAAUUAGCGGAUGACUUGUGGCUGGGGGUGAAAGGCCAAUCAAACCGGGAGAUAGCUGGUUCUCCCCGAAAGCUAUUUAGGUAGCGCCUCGUGAAUUCAUCUCCGGGGGUAGAGCACUGUUUCGGCAAGGGGGUCAUCCCGACUUACCAACCCGAUGCAAACUGCGAAUACCGGAGAAUGUUAUCACGGGAGACACACGGCGGGUGCUAACGUCCGUCGUGAAGAGGGAAACAACCCAGACCGCCAGCUAAGGUCCCAAAGUCAUGGUUAAGUGGGAAACGAUGUGGGAAGGCCCAGACAGCCAGGAUGUUGGCUUAGAAGCAGCCAUCAUUUAAAGAAAGCGUAAUAGCUCACUGGUCGAGUCGGCCUGCGCGGAAGAUGUAACGGGGCUAAACCAUGCACCGAAGCUGCGGCAGCGACACUGUG
rnacentral:rRNA from 1 species